rnacentral:misc_RNA from 1 species
AGUCAUCGACCCCUACCGUUUAGUGCGGGACCGGGUUGGAUAUGGGGGAUUGCUGCCGAGAGGUGGCUCCCCUCAAAUGCAUCGGUUGGGCCUGUGGGUCAAACUCGACUGGGCGUUGUACCAUCCUCGCUCGACCGAGACGUUCCCAUUCUGCGCCCUCCCCCGACCUGCCUGUGGAGCGGCGGUCAAGCGAAACUUUGAA